rnacentral:misc_RNA from 1 species
GACGAACCGUGCAAACGUUACUCGGAAUCAUUGGGCUUAAAGCGCACGUAGGCGGCAUCAUAAGUUGGAGGUGAAAUCCUAACGGCUCAACCGUAGAACUGCCCCCAAUACUGUGAUGCUUGAGGGAGACAGGGGCGAGUGGAACCAUCAGUGGAGCGGUGAAAUGUGUUGAUAUUGGUGGGAACGCCGGUGGCGAAAGCGGCUCGCUGGAUCUUUUCUGACGCUGAGGUGCGAAAGCUAGGGGAGCGAACGGG